UCUUAUAAAUGUGCAUGGCGCAUCACUGAUAUUCGUGGGUGGUCCUGUCUGUAUCUGUGAGGUUGGGAUGAAAAUUUUUCGUUUUCGACGAAAUCUUUUCUGAGUUCCCAGUGUUUCACGAAUGAAAAUGGGUAUCGUUAUGUGUCGAUCUGUUUUGCCAAUAUUUGAAAUGUUGGAAUUUUGCGAAAAUGUAAAUGCGAUGGAUAUCUCAAUUGUGCAAUUGGUUUGCUUUCCGCAGGCGUUAUGCCGGCGAAACCUAUUGCGUACGAGACAUUCACAUGCGCAUUCUCAAA
rnacentral:misc_RNA from 1 species